AUUACCCAAAAUGUAAGCUCUCAGCUGGUCUUGACACCAUGGCUUCUCUCUGCCAUCAUGGACUCUAACCUUCUGGAAACAUCAUCCUAAUUUUAGUUUUAAUGUGCUUUGGCCAUGGUGUCUUUCAAAGCAAUAAAGACAUAAAUAAUACAUACUGUCAUAAAUAAUACAGUCAGUCUUUAAUGGAUCAAAUGUUGCUGUGUGGCCAGUUGUUAAUGUAUACUUUAACUCCACUGUGUCCCAGCAGCCCUAAGAAAGCAGUGCAACACAGAUACCUACAGUGUCCAAACAUAAGAAAUAGUCUGACAUGACUUCCUAAAAGCUGCCUGGAAGCCAGUCUUCUCCUAUCUGCCCUCAGAAGAUGUUGAACUCUCAGCUUCUCCAGCCCCACAUCUGUGUGGACACUGUCCUGCCCCCGCCCUGAUGAUAACGGACUGAACCUCUGAACCUGUAACCUGGCCCCACUUUUUCCUAAAAGCAGGAACCAUAGAGGUUGGAAAGGAAAAAGACAUUAGAGUACUUAGCACUCCUUGAAGGAGGAGAUAGUGAAGAUACACUACUUUACACCUAUCCUGUGAUCAAAAAUUAUUACACAGAUCAAUAAGGAGGCAACAGAGAAUCAUUGAUAGAGUCUUUGUCUAGCACACACAAGGUCAUGGUUACCAGCCUCAGUACUCAAAAGAAUGGAAAGAAGGGUGGGAAAAUAGAGGAGGGUGUGGUUGAAACAUUAGAAACUAUAUCGUGUCAAAUGACUAUCUUUCCAGUACCAUCUUCUCCCUCAAUGACCUGCUCCACCUCACACUGUACACAGUGUACUAAUGAACGCUCAUGAACAGAUCAUAAGCACAAAAACACACGUGUCAAACUAUGCUUUGAAGUCAGAGUAAGUUAUAAUGUGGGUUGCCUCAAAAGGUAUGGUUUCUAAAAGCAAAGAUAGAUCAUCUUUGACUGGUCCUUUAGUUUUUAUCUAAUACCUGUCUGCAAUUUUCAUGUCCUCUUUACAUGUGUACAUGGGUAUGUUACCUUCUUCAUCUUCUAGAUUUUCCCAGCAUUCUCUGCUGACUUAACAGUCAGUCUGUAAGAGAGGGUGUGUGCUCCAGGCACUGUUUGUUGCCAGCCAAGGCAGGCUGGUGUGCACUUGUGUGUUUUUUCUUCACACUCAAGAGAGAGGAAAAUGGACUCCCAUUUUGGAGUGAUUUCUUUAGAACUACCUGCAAAAGUAAAAAGACUCUUAAAAAUCCCUCUGGUGCAUUUGUAUCUUUGGCCUUUUGCAAGAAGGGGAGAGAAGGAAGAGAAAGGACGACUGACUGAAAAGGUUGUUCUCAUUCCCACUGCUGGCGAGGGGUUUGAUUUCCUAAGUAUUAAUCAAAAUCACUCUUGAUUAUAGCAAAAACAACCUUUGCUAUAAUUUUAAUGAAGUUAAUGAGAAUAUAUGGUAAUUCUGAGCAAUCUUGCUCUAGAGAUUAAAGAACAUCCUGCCAGGAAACAUACGAAUAAAGCUUUAGGAUCAAAAUGAAUUUUUGUCCUGUUUUUGUGGUGGUGGAUGUUUGUGUAAAUCACUGGACUGUAGAUAGGUAUAUCCAUAGCACCAAUCUUUAUACAAUGUUUUUUUUUAAAUGACUUUCCUAAAUCAGGUAAUUUCAUUCACACUUAUUGAAGUUACCAUUUCAUAUCUCUUUAAUUACAGAUAAGAGGCUACAGAAAUAAACAGAAGUUGAUACUCAAGAAUAUUGGAGUGACACUGAGUCUACCAACCCAGCUGCCCAUUGGUGAACAAGAGGAAUCCAUAGACCAGAUUGAAUUUCAGCAAGCAGAAGCACAGUUUGGUCACAGAACUUAACAAAUAUGCCAAAAUGACUAUGGACCAGACCAGAGGUUCCUAAGGAAUGAGUAUUGUGUGAAUGUGAUUAUAUGUCCUCAUCAACUGGGCAAAUAAAGAACUACAUCCUUUUACCUUACUUUGGGUAGGAGGCAUCUCAUGUGCCCUACCUCAUGACAGUUGGGGAAGCCUGCUGGAUCGGUCUUCAUAGUUCCUAAGACAGAAAGUAGAAAACUAAACUGGAGCCUGGCUAAA
rnacentral:sRNA from 1 species